rnacentral:rRNA from 1 species
CCUACGGGUGGCAGCAGUGAGGGAUAUUGGUCAAUGGGGGAAACCCUGAACCAGCAACGCCGCGUGAGGGAAGACGGUUUUCGGAUUGUAAACCUCUGUCCUCUGUGCAGAUAAUGACGGUAGCAGAGGAGGAAGCUCCGGCGAACUACGUGCCAGCAGCCGCGGUAAUACGUAGGGAGAGUUCGUUGUCAGGAUUUACUGGGGGGAAGGGGUGCGUAGGCGGCCCUGCAAGUCAUAAGUGAAAGCCAUGGGCUUAACCCGUGAACUGCUUUUGAAACUGCAGGACUUGAGUGGAGGAGGGGUAGGCGGAAUUCCCGGUGUAGCGGUGAAAUGCGUAGAGAUCGGGAGGAACACCAGUGGCGAAGGCGGCCUACUGGGCUUUAACUGACGCUGAAGCACGAAAGCGUGGGUAGCAAACAGGAUUAGAUACCCCAGUAGUC